AAGAGACAGCAGCAGCCACGGUAAUACAGAGGGUGCGAGCGUUAAUCGGAAUUACUGGGCGUAAAGCGUGCGCAGGCGGUUAUAUAAGACAGAUGUGAAAUCCCCGGGCUCAACCUGGGACCUGCAUUUGUGACUGUAUAGCUAGAGUACGGUAGAGGGGGAUGGAAUUCCGCGUGUAGCAGUGAAAUGCGUAGAUAUGCGGAGGAACACCGAUGGCGAAGGCAAUCCCCUGGACCUGUACUGACGCUCAUGCACGAAAGCGUGGGGAGCAAACAGGAUUAGAUACCCCGGUAGUCCCUGUCUCUUAUAA
rnacentral:rRNA from 1 species